UAGUUGAAGGAUGAGCAGUGCUC
rnacentral:misc_RNA from 1 species